GCUGACCUGUAUGAACCAACAGGAUGUUGUGGAAACAGUGUACAUGACUUCAGAGGCUAGGUCAUAAAAGACAUUGUGGCCUCUGCUUUGCUUUUUCUUGGGUCACUCACUCUGGGGGAAGCGAGCUGCCAUGUUGUGAGGACACUCAAGCAGCCCCAUGUAGAGGCCCAUGUGGCAAAGAACUGAGGCCUCCAGUCAACAACCAUUGAGUGAGCCAUCAUGGAAGUGGAUCCUUCAGCCCCAGUCAGGCCUUUACAUGAGUGCAGCCACGGCCAACAUCUUGACUGCAACCUUAUGACAGACUCCAAAACACCCGGUUGUCCCUGGGUUCCUGAUCUUAAAAACUGUAUGAAAUAACAAAUGCCUAUUGUCUAUGUGGAUAUGUUUUGGGGUAAUUUGUUGCGCUACAAUGGAGAAUUAAUACAAAGGCCUAGCACCCUGGACCUCACCCCACAUACCACAGGGAGCUUGAAAGUCAGCUACUCCAGCACCAUUUGCAGCAGGAGAGCAGCUGGAUCUACAGCUAGUAAAGCUGGUGAAGGAAGAGGAGAGACGAAGUGCUUGUCUAUCUCCCUGGGUGAGGGGAGUGCAGCACGGAAGUGGGGGUCCAGGUCCUGCCAGGUAGGGAGAUGGGAGUGUACGACACCGCCGUAGAAACCCUGGACCACCAAUCUACAGCUUUCCCAAAGCCUGCUGUGGCACUUGAUUGCCAUCCUGCUUUCUCACAUCCCAUCUGGCCACCAAGGCAAAAGGGUCUCAGCUUUCCUCUCUCUAAUGCCCAAUGAGGGUACUAAGGGCUCCACCUCCAACAUCCAGGAACCACAAGGGAGACCCAGGAGGAGGAAAGGCCUAACAGGAUAAGGGGACAUCAGCAUCUAAAUGUAUUGACCCGGAGACUGUUGGAGCAUGAAAACUUGGACAACACGUGGGGGUUUAUCUGAGGACGCAUGAUGGGGAGAUGGAGAUUGGGUGGAAAACCAACCCAUAGCACCAGUGAACUGGAAAGCCUUAGGCCUACACAUAUUCAGCUUUCAAUCCUGGCUACACAUGAGAUGCACCUGGGGAGCUUUAAAAACACCUGCCUGGGCCCUACCUGGGACCAGUUGAAUCAGAACCCCUUGGGUUCAUGCUCCUACCAAAGAUAUUCCACCUUCUGAGGAAGACCCACCCAAAGAUGUCGCCUCUGUCCUUGCUAGGGGGCAGGAAAUUCCCUUUGUACUCAGGCUCACCUGCCAAACCUUGGGAAGCUCAUCUACCCUGUGAAGUGCCAUUUUACUGUGCAAGUUACUCUCCUGUGACAUUAAAUCCACAAAAGUGAGUCGCAGGUACCGUGGCUGAGAAGUGCCCUUGCCUCCCCUUUGGACGUAUCCUCAUUUAUUCAUGGAAAGUAUUUCCCCUGAUAAAGCACAAUGAUUUAUUGAGAGGAGGGUGUAACAGAGUAGUGGCUUGAUGAUUCCUGUGUGGACUUUUUCUG
rnacentral:lncRNA from 1 species